CUUCCGGUUGACGAGGUACAAGUACCUCGUCGACUGGAAGGACACCCUUCCGGUCGACGAGGUACAGGUACCUCGUCGACUGGAAG
rnacentral:miRNA from 1 species